rnacentral:rRNA from 1 species
GAUGAACGCUGGCGGCAGGCCUAACACAUGCAAGUCGAACGCGGGGCGGACGGGUGUGUAAUGUCUGGGAAACUGCUUUAUGGAUGGGGAUAAUUACUGGAAACGGAAGCUAUUACGGCAAACCAUCAGAUGUUCCCUGAUGGGACUAGAGUGUUGGUGUGGUAACGGCUCACAAAGGCCACGAUCCCUAGCUGAUCUGAGAGGAUGACCAGCCACACUGGAACUGAGACACGGUCCAGACUCCUACGGGAGGCAGCAGUGGGGAAUAUUGCGCAAUGGGCGCAAGCCUGAUGGAGCAAUGCCGCGUGUAUGAAGAAGGUCUUCGGGUUGUAAAGUACUUUCAGCGGGGAGGCGUUACCCGCAGAGAAAGCACCGGCUAACUCCGUGCCAGCAGCCGCGGUAAUUC